AUGUCCCGGAGUAUAUUUUAUCACAUAGGUGAAGCUAUAGUUGAGCAUGAUCAUGAUGGUUAUUUUAAGCAAAAAGGAAAUGCUGGUGGUGCUCCUGAUUCGCAGCCUACUGAUGGAUAUGCAGCUGAUGCUGCGGAUGAGUACGUUCGGUCUGCAAAAGCUACUGAUGUAAAAACUUGCAAAAAGUUUGUGAUAGCUAUUUGUCAAAUCUUUGGGGAUGAGUCCUUGAGAUCUCCAAAUGAAGAAGAUACUGCAAGAUUACUUGCAAUCUGGCAACCUGUCCGACGGCUGUCAAAAGCAAAACCAACGACUUUGCAGUACCCUCCAUUUUUUGGGGAUUUCUUGUGCGUCAGAGUCCCCAUCUCUGUCACAGGAAGGAGCACGGGAGGGACUCAUGAAUACUCUAUUGGUUUUGUCCAUUCCUCCGUUGGUGAUGAGCUACCCCAGGAUGCCAUCUGCUCUUAUGCAAGGUCCAGUUGGUCGGACCUUCCGACGGAUCUCCUCCUCAGAAUCCUCCAACGCCUCCAGCUCCAGGAAUCCCUUGCUUUUGCGUUAGUAUGCACAUCAUGGAGCUGGGCUGCAGCUGCUGCUGGCGUCCCAUGUUCUUGCAGACCGUGGCUCAUGUCUUGGACCCACCUCGUUGAGGAGAGUCAACCCAAGAUCAACUGGAGCUCAACUGUGACCUGCAAGUUCCGCCAUCUGGUGGACGUCAACAAGUCUUAUGAUGUUGAUUUUCCCAAGGGUUGUUUUGUUGCAUGUGCUGGAGCUUCUCAUGGAUGGCUGGUUCUGGUAAAUGAACUCUCCAAUCUCCUUCUCUUCAACCCCUUUACCUCGGACAUGGUCUCUUUACCACCAAUUACCGAUUUCUCAUUUGUGGAGGCAAUAUAUGAUAAUCAAGGACACAUAGAAGUUUAUCGUUUUUUUAACGAUGGAUUCUAUGAUGCAAAAUAUCUGGCAACAUGGUUCUUCCAGAAGGCAGUUUUGUCCUGUACCCCAUCCAAAGGUGGUAACUACAUUGUCAUGAUCAUUCAUUAUGAUAGCAAUUGGCUCUCUUUUGUGAGGGCAGGAGAGGGCAAGUGGCAAGUGGUCUCACCUUUAGCUAGAAGGGUACAAAAUCAGUAUGUGGCAAGUGGUCUCAACUUUAGCUAG
rnacentral:rRNA from 1 species